rnacentral:rRNA from 1 species
UAGGGUCAAGCGAAUAAGUGCAUGUGGUGGAUGCCUUGGCGAUUACAGGCGAUGAAGGACGUGGCAGCCUGCGAAAUGCCCCGGGGAGCUGGCAAGCAAGCUUUGAUCCGAGGAUGUCCGAAUGGGGAAACCCACCCGCAAGGGUAACCUAGACUGAAUACAUAGGUCUAGCGUGGCGAACCUGCUGAACUGAAACAUCUAAGUAGGCAGAGGAAAAGAAAUCAACCGAGAUUCCGAAAGUAGUGGCGAGCGAAAUCGGAACAGCCGUCAUGUUUUAGCAGUUGUAUUAACAGAACGGAAUGGAAAGUCCGGCGAUAGAGGGUGAUAGCCCCGUAUGUGAAAAUACAGUUGUGGAACUAAGCAUGAGACAAGUAGGGCGGGACACGAGAAAUCCUGUCUGAAUAUGGGGGGACCAUCCUCCAAGGCUAAAUACUCGUAAUCGACCGAUAGUGAACUAGUACCGUGAGGGAAAGGCGAAAAGAACCCCGGGAGGGGAGUGAAAUAGAUCCUGAAACCGCAUGCAUACAAACAGUGGGAGCGGACUUGUUCCGUGACUGCGUACCUUUUGUAUAAUGGGUCAGCGACUUACAUUCAGUAGCGAGCUUAACCGAAUAGGGGAGGCGUAGGGAAACCGAGUCUGAUAAGGGCGUAUAGUUGCUGGGUGUAGACCCGAAACCGGAUGAUCUAUCCAUGGCCAGGAUGAAGGUGCGGUAACACGCACUGGAGGUCCGAACCCACUAACGUUGAAAAGUUAGGGGAUGAGCUGUGGAUAGGGGUGAAAGGCUAAACAAAUCCGGAAAUAGCUGGUUCUCUCCGAAAACUAUUUAGGUAGUGCCUCAUAUAUCACCCUCGGGGGUAGAGCACUGUUAUGGCUAGGGGCAUAUUGCAUGUUACCAAACCAUGGCAAACUCCGAAUACCGAGGAGUGCGAGUAUGGGAGACAGACAGCGGGUGCUAACGUCCGUUGUCAAGAGGGAAACAACCCAGACCGCCAGCUAAGGUCCCAAAGCAUAGUUAAGUGGAAAACGAAGUGGGAAGGCCCAGACAGCCAGGAGGUUGGCUUAGAAGCAGCCACCCUUUAAAGAAAGCGUAAUAGCUCACUGGUCGAGUCGUCCUGCGCGGAAGAUGUAACGGGGCUCAAACUAUGCACCGAAGCUGCGGAUAUGUACUUGUACAUAUGGUAGGAGAGCGUUCUGUAAGCCUGUGAAGGUGUCUGGAGACGGAUGCUGGAGGUAUCAGAAGUGCGAAUGCUGACAUGAGUAGCGAUAAAGGGAGUGAAAAGCUCCCUCGCCGAAAGCCCAAGGUUUCCUGCGCAACGUUCAUCGGCGCAGGGUGAGUCGGCCCCUAAGGUGAGGCAGAGAUGCGUAGCUGAUGGGAAAUAGGUUAAUAUUCCUAUACCUUUAUACAAUGCGAUGAGGGGACGGAGAAGGUUAGCUCAGCCAAGUGUUGGAUGUCUUGGUUUAAGCGUGUAGGUGGAUCUCUUAGGCAAAUCCGGGAGGUCAACACUGAGGCGUGAUGACGAGUUCUCAUUGAGAACGAAGUGAGUGAUACCAUGCUUCCAAGAAAAGCCUCUAAGCUUCAGUUGUAUGAAGACCGUACCGCAAACCGACACAGGUGGGCAGGGUGAGAAUCCUAAGGCGCUUGAGAGAACUCAGGAGAAGGAACUCGGCAAAUUGACACCGUAACUUCGGGAGAAGGUGUGCCCCAAGUAUGUGAAGCGACUUGCUCGUGGAGCAGAACGGGGUUGCAGUGAACUGGUGGCUGCGACUGUUUAAUAAAAACACAGCACUCUGCAAACACGAAAGUGGACGUAUAGGGUGUGACGCCUGCCCGGUGCCGGAAGGUUAAAUGAUGGGGUGCAAGCUCUUGAUUGAAGCCCCGGUAAACGGCGGCCGUAACUAUAACGGUCCUAAGGUAGCGAAAUUCCUUGUCGGGUAAGUUCCGACCCGCACGAAUGGCGUAACGAUGGCCACACUGUCUCCUCCUGAGACUCAGCGAAGUUGAAAUGUUUGUGAAGAUGCAAUCUACCCGCUGCUAGACGGAAAGACCCCGUGCACCUUUACUGUAGCUUUACAUUGGACUUUGAACCAAUCUGUGUAGGAUAGGUGGGAGGCUUUGAAGUGGGGACGCUAGUUCUCAUGGAGCCAUCCUUGAAAUACCACCCUGGUUUGUUUGAGGUUCUAACCUAGGUCCAUUAUCUGGAUCGGGGACCGUGUAUGGUAGGCAGUUUGACUGGGGCGGUCUCCUCCCAAAGAGUAACGGAGGAGUACGAAGGUAACCUUAGCGCGGUCGGACAUCGCGCUGUACGUGCAAUGGCAAAAGGUUGCUUGACUGCGAGACUGACAAGUCGAGCAGGUGCGAAAGCAGGUCAUAGUGAUCCGGUGGUUCUGAAUGGAAGGGCCAUCGCUCAACGGAUAAAAGGUACGCCGGGGAUAACAGGCUGAUUCCUCCCAAGAGUUCACAUCGACGGGGGAGUUUGGCACCUCGAUGUCGGCUCAUCACAUCCUGGGGCUGUAGCCGGUCCCAAGGGUAUGGCUGUUCGCCAUUUAAAGUGGUACGUGAGCUGGGUUUAAAACGUCGUGAGACAGUUUGGUCCCUAUCUGCAGUGGGCGUUGGAAGUUUGAGGGGACCUGCUCCUAGUACGAGAGGACCGGAGUGGACGAACCUCUGGUGUACCGGUUAUCACGCCAGUGGUAUUGCCGGGUAGCUAAGUUCGGAAGAGAUAACCGCUGAAAGCAUCUAAGCGGGAAACUCGCCUCAAGAUGAGACUUCCCGGGGGUUUAACCCCCCUAAAGGUUCGUCGGAGACUACGACGUUGAUAGGUCGGGUGUGGAAGCGCAGUAAUGUGUUAAGCUAACCGAUACUAAUUGACCGUGCGGCUUGAUCCUA